rnacentral:rRNA from 1 species
GACGAACGCUGGCGGCGUGCUUAACACAUGCAAGUCGAACGGAAAGGCCUGCUUUCCCUUGUGGAUUGCGGGUACUCGAGUGGCGAACGGGUGAGUAACACGUGAGUGAUCUGCCCCCAACUUGGGUAUAAGCCUGGGAAACUGGGUCUAAUUCCCGAUAGGACUGCAGGGUGGUGCCUGUGGUGGAAAACGAUUUUCUAGUGGUUGGGGAUGAGCUCGCGGCCUAUCAGCUUGUUGGUGGGGUAAUGGCCUACCAAGGCGGCGACGGGUAGCCGGCCUGAGAGGGUGGACGGCCACAUUGGGACUGAGAUACGGCCCAGACGCCUACGGGAAGCAGCAGUGGGGAAUAUUGCACAAUGGGCGGAAGCCUGAUGCAGCGACGCCGCGUGGGGGAUGACGGCCUUCGGGUUGUAAACUCCUUUCGACCGCGAGGAAGCCACCUGGUUGGAAGGGUGGUGACGGUAGUGGUAGAAGAAGCACCGGCUAACUACGUG